rnacentral:rRNA from 1 species
GACGAACGCUGGCGGCGUGCUUAACACAUGCAAGUCGAACGAUGAAGCGGUGCUUGCACCGUGGAUGAGUGGCGAACGGGUGAGUAAUGCGUGAGUGACCUGCCCCCUUCUUCGGGAUAAGCCUUGGAAACGGGGUCUAAUACCGGAUAUUCCCUUCCUUCUGCAUGGUUGGUUGGGGAAAGUUUUUUCGGUGGGGGAUGGGCUCGCGUCCUAUCAGCUUGUUGGUGGGGUGAUGGCCUACCAAGGCGUCGACGGGUAGCCGGCCUGAGAGGGUGACCGGCCACACUGGGACUGAGAUACGGCCCAGACUCCUACGGGAGGCAGCAGCGGGGGAUAUUGCACAAUGGGCGCAAGCCUGAUGCAGCGACGCCGCGUGAGGGAUGACGGCUUUCGGGUUGUAAACCUCUUUUACUAUUGAACAAGGCGCCAUAUUGGUGGUGUUGAGGGUAGGUGGUGAAUAAGCGCCGGCUAACUACGUGCCAGCCGCCGCCGUAA